UGAGGAAUAUUGGUCAAUGGGCGCAAGCCUGAACCAGCCAUCCCGCGUGCAGGAAGACGGCCCUAUGGGUUGUAAACUGCUUUUCCAGGGGGAGAAACUUGCGCACGUGUUGCGCAAUUGACGGUACCCUGGGAAUAAGCAUCGGCUAACUCCGUGCCAGCAGCCGCGGUAAUACGGAGGAUGCGAGCGUUAUCCGGAUUCAUUGGGUUUAAAGGGUGCGUAGGCGGACUAUUAAGUCAGUGGUGAAAUCCUGCAGCUUAACUGCAGAACUGCCAUUGAUACUGAUAGCCUUGAGUUUGGUUAAGGUAGGCGGAAUGUGUAAUGUAGCGGUGAAAUGCUUAGAUAUUACACAGAACACCAAUUGCGUAGGCAGCUUACUGAGCCGACACUGACGCUGAGC
rnacentral:rRNA from 1 species